CACUGGUCCAAGUGCAGUGGUGUUUAUCACUAAUUCAUCACAACCAGUUACAGAUUUCUUUGUUCCUUUUCUACUCCCACUGCUUCACUUGACUAGCCUUAA
ensembl:misc_RNA Y_RNA Y RNA